rnacentral:tRNA from 1 species
AGCCGGAUAGCUCAGUGGGAGAGCGUCUGCUUUACACGCAGAGGGUCCAGGGUUCAAAUCCCUGUCCGGCUACCA